UACGUAGGGUGCGAGCGUUGUCCGGAUUUACUGGGCGUAAAGGGCGUGCAGGCGGUCUGUUAAGUGCAGGGUGAAAGCUCCCGGCUCAACUGGGAGAGGUCCUUGCAUACUGGCGGACUUGAGGGGGGUAGAGGAAAGUGGAAUUCCCGGUGUAGUGGUGAUAUGCGUAGAUAUCGGGAGGAACACCUGUGGCGAAGGCGGCUUUCUGGGCCAUACCUGACGCUGAGACGCGAAAGCGUGGGGAGCGAACCGG
rnacentral:rRNA from 1 species